UAUGCGCGUAUAGGCAAAGGUGGUGAACUUCACUCCAACCUGCGGUUUUAUAGCUGUGUGCUGCCUGGACCAGGCCCACCAUGCCCUCCUGGACCAGAUCGUCCAACUCGCUGGCCACGCCCAUAUGCCGCAGCCGCUGAUGCAUCUGCUUGGCCAGGUGAAAAACCAACCCGUAGUACUCUGUCAGUUCCAACAUCUUCCUCGUCCGGGUACCCCUCGGAUCGGCUACCGCACGUUCGCCUACUGCUGUCAUUGUCACAAUAUAUUGUAUUAUACGAAAAUUCAAAGCCAUGGUGCAAAUUUGGACAAUUCCUUCCGCCCACCGCUUACCCUGGAGCUAUCACUACCAGCAGGCCAUAGAAUGCUUUGUCCGCAUCUUCGCUUUGGGCUGGAUCACCUCCUUAAGCCGAAUUCCAGCACACUGGCGGCCGUUACUAGUGGAUCCGAGCUUACCAAGCUUGGCGUAAUCAUGGUCAUAGCUGGUUCCUGUGUGAAA
rnacentral:rRNA from 1 species